rnacentral:ncRNA from 1 species
UGAGGGUUUGGUCCUGGCCCCAAUAUUAGUCCUAACUUAACUUACACAUGCAAGUCUCAGCACUCCGGUGAGAACGCCCCGUCUAAACCAAAAAAACUUAAACGGGAGCUGGUAUCAGGCACGCCUAUAAGGGCAGCCCAUGACACCUCGCUCAGCCACACCCACAAGGGAACUCAGCAGUGAUAAAUAUUGUUCCAUAAGCGUAAGCUUGAACCAAUUAAAGUUUAGAGGGUCGGUUAAUCUCGUGCCAGCCACCGCGGUUAUACGAGUGACACAAACUAAUAUUCCACGGCGUUAAGGGUGAUUAGAACAAAUCUUCCCAAAAAUAAAGUUAAGACAACAUCAAACUGUCAUACGUUCUCAUGUUUAAAAACAUCACUUACGAAAGUAACUUUAUACAAGAAAGAGUUUUUGACUUCACGACAGUUAAGGCCCAAACUAGGAUUAGAUACCCUACUAUGCUUAACCAUAAACAUCAUAUCAUAAAAUUACCUUAAUAUAUCGCCUGAACACUACAAGCGCUAGCUUAAAACCCAAAGGACUUGGCGGUACUCCAAACCCACCUAGAGGAGCCUGUUCUAUAACCGAUAAUCCGCGUUCAACCUCACCACUUCUUGCUCUCUCCGCCUAUAUACCGCCGUCGUCAGCUCACCCUAUGAAGGUUUAACAGUAAGCACAAUGACCCUUCUCCUCACUACGUCAGGUCGAGGUGUAGCGAAUGAAGUGGGAAGAAAUGGGCUACAUUCUCUCUACAGAAAACACGAACAGAAGCAUGAAAAACUUCUUAAAGGUGGAUUUAGCAGUAAGUAAACUUUAGAACAUUAUACUGAAACCGGCUCUGGAGUGCGCACACACCGCCCGUCACUCUCCUCGAGAACAACUACUCACUUUCAUAAAAAAAAUUAAAAACAAGAGGAGGCAAGUCGUAACAUGGUAAGUGUACCGGAAGGUGCACUUGGAUUAAC